rnacentral:rRNA from 1 species
UGUUAGCGGCGGACGGGUGAGUAACACGUGGGUAACCUGCCUGUAAGACUGGGAUAACUCCGGGAAACCGGGGCUAAUACCGGAUGGUUGUUUGAACCGCAUGGUUCAAACAUAAAAGGUGGCUUCGGCUACCACUUACAGAUGGACCCGCGGCGCAUUAGCUAGUUGGUGAGGUAACGGCUCACCAAGGCAACGAUGCGUAGCCGACCUGAGAGGGUGAUCGGCCACACUGGGACUGAGACACGGCCCAGACUCCUACGGGAGGCAGCAGUAGGGAAUCUUCCGCAAUGGACGAAAGUCUGACGGAGCAACGCCGCGUGAGUGAUGAAGGUUUUCGGAUCGUAAAGCUCUGUUGUUAGGGAAGAACAAGUACCGUUCGAAUAGGGCGGUACCUUGACGGUACCUAACCAGAAAGCCACG